rnacentral:rRNA from 1 species
GACGAACGCUGGCGGCGUGCUUAACACAUGCCAGUCGAACGGGCUCUGUCUGGCUGUGUGCUGGGUGGGGUUAGUGGCGAACGGGUGAGUAAUACGUGAGUAACCUGCCCUCUUCUUUGGGAUAAGCCUUGGAAACGGGGUCUAAUACUGGAUAUUCCUGUCUGGUCGCAUGGCUGGGUGGGGAAAGUUUUUUUCGGUGGGGGAUGGGCUCGCGGCCUAUCAGCUUGUUGGUGGGGUGAUGGCCUACCAAGGCGUCGACGGGUAGCCGGCCUGAGAGGGUGACCGGCCACACUGGGACUGAGAUACGGCCCAGACUCCUACGGGAGGCAGCAGUGGGGGAUAGUGCACAAUGGGCGAAAGCCUGAUGCAGCGACGCCGCGUGGGGGAUGACGGCUUUCGGGUUGUAAACCUCUUUCGUCGGGGGACAAGGCUCUGCUUGGUGGUGGGGUUGAGGGUACCCGGUGAAGAAGCGCCGGCUAACUACGUG